GAUGAAGAACGUAGCGAAUUGCGAUAUGUAAUGUGAAUUGCAGAAUUCAGUGAAUCAUCGAGUCUUUGAACGCACAUUGCGCCCCCUGGUAUUCCGGGGGGCAUGCCUGUCCGAGCGUCAUUGCUGCCCUCAAGCACGGCUUGUGUGUUGGGCCUCCGUCCUCCUCCCGGGGGACGGGCCCGAAAGGCAGCGGCGGCACCGCAUCCGGUCCUCGAGCGUAUGGGGCUUCGUCACCCGCUCUUGUAGGCCCGGCCGGCGCUUGCCGACACAUCAAUCUUUUUUCCAGGUUGACCUCGGAUCAGGUAGGGAUACCCGCUGAACUUAAGCAUAUCAAUAAGCGGAGGA
rnacentral:misc_RNA from 1 species